UCUUAACAUCUGCCACUUCUCUCUUCCCACCUCUAUCUGCCUUUCAUCUUUCCUUCAUUGUACUUCAGCUUCCACUUCUUCCUGUAUGGUCCUGUUGAUGCCGUCUUAUUCCCGUCCCCAGACUCAUUAUCUUUACCCUCUCUCAACUGAGUUCCCACCCUGGUUCUCUCUCAAGAUCUUCCUCUCAUGGCUUUCAACCUUGGUAAACAAUGAGGACACAUCUCAAAAAGAACGAUGUAAUUUAAUUGCCUUGAGUUGGCUGGGCUAUCAUUUAUUAUAAAGUGCUCUUACAAUUAAAGCUAAUUUAAUUCUGAAGAACUAAGGAUUAAGAAGUCAAGAGCUGGGGUUCUCACAAUAUGUCUUGCAGACUACAAGUGUGAACUGAGGAAGUCCCCAAAGUCACUUCUUACUAAGGUUUUCAAGGUUCAUCUGUAUAUAACACGGGAUCAGUUCUUCAUUUUAUGGCUGAAUUAUAUUCCAUUGUAUGGAUAUACUAUAUUUUGUUUAUUCUUUCAUCAUUUGAAAAACAUUGGAACUGGAAAAAAAAGCAAAUGAGCAAGCAGUUUCCAGGGGAAGAAAUACAGAUGGCUGAUAAACAUUUAAGAAGAUGUUGAGUCCCACUGUAAUAAGGGAGCUACAACUUAAAAAUGUGUGGUAUACAGUAUAGCAUUUUUCACCCAUGAGAUAGGCAAGAGUUAAAAAGAUGGACAAUACCCAGUGCUGGUGAGGACAUAAGGAAAUGAACACUUUUAUUCUCUAUUGGAACAGUGUACCUUACCUUUCUCAAAAAGUUUGGUGGUAUCCAUUAAAAUUAAAAGUGGGCAGGUGCUUCCUAGGCAGUUUACUAUCAUCUAUCAUCUCUUUCCUAGGGAACAGUCACAUUAUGUGCUAUGUGCAUAAAACAGCACCUAGAGAAAUAUUUAUUGCAGCAUUGUGUAUAAUAGAAAUAAAGACAGGAGACACUCCUAAGAUCCAUCAAAAUAAACAAACUACAACAUAACCGAACUGUGGAAUACUACACCACAAUAAAAAGAAAGAGAUCUAUACAUAUUGAUAAGUGAAUUCAUGUUAAAUGAAAACACAAGAUACAUGAAUACAUAGAUGGCCCCACUUGUGUAAAAAUUAAACACACUCUCCCAAAAGCACUGACCAAAUCUAUAUUGUCUAGGUAUUAAAAGGCACAGAGGAGAUCUGAAAAUAAUCACACCCAAGAGAAAACAACAUUGACCUCAAGAAAGAGGAGAAAGAUUAGGUGGGGCUGUGUGAAACCGAAUUUUCCAAACAUGGCCACACCAGUCUAUAUCACAACCCACAUGCUCUUCUGAUAGCAUGACAGGGUCCCUCUUCCUAAACUAGGGUGGAUUUGGUAACUGCCUCUAUCAACAGAAUGCACAGGAGUGAUGUUUUGUGACUGUCAGUGCCAAGUCAUAAAAGAUGUGAUUUCCUCCUGGUUCUGUCUCCCCUCUCCUUUGGACUAAGCCACUAUGUUGUGAGGAAGCCUAGGCCCCAUGGAGGGGCCACAUAGAUGUAUUCCAGGCAGCAGCCCCAGCAAAGGUCUCAAUCAACCACCAGUGUGUGAGUGAAGACACCUUCAGAUAAUUUUGCUUCCCAGACAUCAAGUCUUCCAGCUGGGUCCAAGACAUCACAAGGCAGAGACAAGCCCUCCCCUCUGUGCACUGUUGGAAUUCCCCACCCACAGAAACUGUGAGCGUAAAAAAAGGUUGAAAGCGGUGUAAAUUGCUCUUAUCUGAACCGCAAUGAAUUCACAUAUUCAAGUUGGCUUCUUGGGAAAUUUCAGGCCACAAAUGGCAGUGAUGCGAUCAGGAGCAGCAACACAUGCCACUUCCAUCCAGACAGAAGGACCCCAGGUCAAGGCCUGACAGGAGGGGCAGGAGCCAUCAAUGAGAGCAGACCUCAGAAGGCUGACAGAGGGGAGAGGAGCACCAUCCACAGCCCCAUCCUCUGGAUGCUGUGGGAAGAAGUCCACAAAAUACUGCCCCUCAGAGUGAGUCGGUAGCAGAGCGCUUGCUGCUGGCUGCAAAUACCCCAUCAGAACAUAUUUGGGGUGAUUCUUGGACCUGGUUUCAAUUUCUUUUCUGCUAGUCAGCAGUUGUGCUUGACUCACAAUUUGUUGCCAUCUCCUGAAUUAAACUCAGGAAACAGGAUAAAGAUCAGAACCACAUUG